GGGAGGGGCGCAAGCGUUGUUCGGAAUUACUGGGGCGUAAAAGGGGGGCGCAGGGGUGGCUUGGUAAGUCCUAUGUGAAAGCCCGCGGCUCAACCGCGGAAUGGCAUAGGAUACUGCCCGAGCUUGAGACGGGUAGAGGCGAGUAGAAUUCCCGGUGUAGCGGUGGAAUGCGUAGAUAUCGGGAAGAAUACCAGUGGCGAAGGCGGCUCGCUGGGCCCGUUCUGACGCUCAGGCCCGAAAGCGUGGGGAGCAAACAGGAUUAGAUACCCUGGUAGUCCACGCCGUAAACGAUGGGCACUAGGUGCCGGGGAGUGUGACCUUUUCGGUGCCGUAGCUAACGCGUUAAGUGCCCCGCCUGGGGAGUACGGCCGCAAAGGCUG
rnacentral:rRNA from 1 species